rnacentral:rRNA from 1 species
AUUGAACGCUGGCGGCAUGCCUUACACAUGCAAGUCGAACGGCAGCACGGGAGCAAUCCUGGUGGCGAGUGGCGAACGGGUGAGUAAAGUAUCGGAACGUGCCCAGUCGUGGGGGAUAACGUAGCGAAAGUUACGCUAAUACCGCAUACGAUCUACGGAUGAAAGCGGGGGAUCGCAAGACCUCGCGCGAUUGGAGCGGCCGAUAGCAGAUUAGGUAGUUGGUGGGGUAAAGGCUCACCAAGCCGACGAUCUGUAGCUGGUCUGAGAGGACGACCGGCCACACUGGGACUGGGGCACGGCCAAGCGUCCUACGGGAGGCAGCGGUGGGGAAUUUUGGACAAUGGGCGAAAGCCUGGUCCAGCCAUGCCGAGUGCAGGAUGAAGGCCUUCGGGUUGUAAACUGAUUUUGUACGGAACGAAAAGGUUUGGCCUAAUAAGCUGAGCUCAUGACGGUACCGAAAGAAUAAGCACCGGCUAACUACGUGCCAGCAGCCGCCGUAA